UACGUAGGAUGCAAGCGUUGUUCGGAAUUACUGGGCGUAAAGAGUACGUAGGCGGUCUGGCAAGUCUGAUAUUAAAGACUAGAGCUUAACUCCAGGACUGUAUCGGAAACUGCCAAACUAGAGGACAAUAGAGGAAGUCGGAAUUCUCAGUGUAGCGGUGAAAUGCGUAGAUAUUGGGAAGAACACCAGUGGCGAAAGCGGACUUCUGGGUUGUUACUGACGCUGAGGUACGAAAGCGUGGGGAGCAAACGGG
rnacentral:rRNA from 1 species